CGCUUCUGAGUGGAAUGCUCGAUUUUUUUGAGUAUGAUGACGCUCAUCUGAAUAGGAAGAUCUGAUGU